rnacentral:rRNA from 1 species
UACGUAGGGCGCAAGCGUUGUCCGGAAUUAUUGGGCGUAAAGAGCUCGUAGGCGGUCUGUCGCGUCUGCCGUGAAAACCCGAGGCUUAACCUCGUGGCUUGCGGUGGAUACGGGCAGACUAGAGGUAGGUAGGGGAGAAUGGAAUUCCCGGUGUAGCGGUGAAAUGUGUCGAGUAUCGGGAGGAACACCGGUGGCGAAGGCGGUCGUGGCCUUG